AGUUUGAUCCUGGCUCAGAUUGAACGCUGGCGGCAGGCCUAACACAUGCAAGUCGGACGGUAGCACAGGGGAGCUUGCUCCCUGGGUGACGAGUGGCGGACGGGUGAGUAAUGUCUGGGGAUCUGCCCGAUAGAGGGGGAUAACCACUGGAAACGGUGGCUAAUACCGCAUAACGUCGCAAGACCAAAGAGGGGGACCUUCGGGCCUCUCACUAUCGGAUGAACCCAGAUGGGAUUAGCUAGUAGGCGGGGUAAUGGCCCACCUAGGCGACGAUCCCUAGCUGGUCUGAGAGGAUGACCAGCCACACUGGAACUGAGACACGGUCCAGACUCCUACGGGAGGCAGCAGUGGGGAAUAUUGCACAAUGGGCGCAAGCCUGAUGCAGCCAUGCCGCGUGUAUGAAGAAGGCCUUCGGGUUGUAAAGUACUUUCAGCGGGGAGGAAGGCGAUGCGGUUAAUAACCGCGUCGAUUGACGUUACCCGCAGAAGAAGCACCGGCUAACUCCGUGCCAGCAGCCGCGGUAAUACGGAGGGUGCAAGCGUUAAUCGGAAUUACUGGGCGUAAAGCGCACGCAGGCGGUCUGUUAAGUCAGAUGUGAAAUCCCCGGGCUUAACCUGNGAACUGCAUUUGAAACUGGCAGGCUUGAGUCUCGUAGAGGGGG
rnacentral:rRNA from 1 species